rnacentral:rRNA from 1 species
CACGUAGGGGGCAAGCGUUGUCCGGAUUUAUUGGGCGUAAAGAGCUCGUAGGUGGCUUAGUAAGUCGGGUGUGAAACCUCCAGGCUCAACCUGGAGACGCCACCCGAUACUGCUAUAGCUUGAGUCCGGUAGGGGAGUGUGGAAUUCCCGGUGUAGCGGUGAAAUGCGCAGAGAUCGGGAGGAACACCCGUAGCGAAGGCGGCACUCUGGGCCGGUACUGACGCUGAGGAGCGAAAGCGUGGGGAGCAAACAGG